GCCUUCAUGGUGUAAUGGUCAGCACGCUCGGCGCGUAUUCGAAAGGUUCGAGGUUCGAAUCCCGACGAUGGCA
rnacentral:tRNA from 1 species